rnacentral:rRNA from 1 species
UACGGAGGGUGCAAGCGUUAUCCGGAAUUACUGGGCGUAAAGCGUCCGCAGGUGGUUAAGAAAGUCUGUUGUUAAAUCUUGAGGCUUAACCUCAUAAGGGCAAUGGAAACUGUUUGACUAGAGUAUGUUAGGGGCAAGGGGAAUUCCCAGUGUAGCGGUGAAAUGCGUAGAGAUUGGGAAGAACACCGGUGGCGAAAGCGCCUUGCUAGGCCGUAACUGACACUGAGGGACGAAAGCUAGGGGAGCGAAUGGG